rnacentral:rRNA from 1 species
GAUGAACGCUGGCGGCGUGCCUAAUACAUGCAAGUCGAGCGAACAGACGAGGAGCUUGCUCCUCUGACGUUAGCGGCGGACGGGUGAGUAACACGUGGAUAACCUACCUAUAAGACUGGGAUAACUUCGGGAAACCGGAGCUAAUACCGGAUAAUAUAUUGAACCGCAUGGUUCAAUAGUGAAAGACGGUUUUGCUGUCACUUAUAGAUGGAUCCGCGCCGCAUUAGCUAGUUGGUAAGGUAACGGCUUACCAAGGCAACGAUGCGUAGCCGACCUGAGAGGGUGAUCGGCCACACUGGAACUGAGACACGGUCCAGCCUCCUACGGGAGGCAGAAGUAGGGAAUCUUCCGCAAUGGGCGAAAGCUUGACGGAGCAACGCGGCGUGAGUGAUGAAGGUCUUCGGAUCGUAAAACUCUGUUAUUAGGGAAGAACAAAUGUGUAGGUAACUAUGCACGUCUUGACGGUACCUAAUCAGAAAGCCACGGCUAACUACGUG